rnacentral:rRNA from 1 species
GAUGAACGCUGGCGGCGUGCCUAAUACAUGCAAGUCGAGCGAACGGACGAGAAGCUUGCUUUUCUGAUGUUAGCGGCGGACGGGUGAGUAACACGUGGAUAACCUACCUAUAAGACUGGGAUAACUUCGGGAGACCGGAGCUAAUACCGGAUAAUAUUUUGAACCGCAUGGUUCAAAAGUGAAAGACGGUCUUGCUGUCACUUAUAGAUGGAUCCGCGCUGCAUUAGCUAGUUGGUAAGGUAACGGCUUACCAAGGCAACGAUGCAUAGCCGACCUGAGAGGGUGAUCGGCCACACUGGAACUGAGACACGGUCCAGACUCCUACGGGAGGCGGCAGUAGGGAAUCUUCCGCAAUGGGCGAAAGCCUGACGGAGCAACGCCGCGUGAGUGAUGAAGGUCUUCGGAUCGUAAAACUCUGUUAUUAGGGAAGAACAUAUGUGUAAGUAACUGUGCACAUCUUGACGGUACCUAAUCAGAAAGCCACGGCUAACUACGUG